rnacentral:hammerhead_ribozyme from 1 species
ACACUGCUGAUGAGUCCCACAACAGGACGAAAUGGCUGUCUAGUGC